rnacentral:rRNA from 1 species
AGCAGCCGCGGUAAUUCCAGCUCCAAUAGCGUAUAUUAAAGUUGUUGCAGUUAAAAAGCUCGUAGUUGAAUUUCGGGGUUAGUAGGUUGGUCAUGCCUCUGGUAUGUACUGGUCUCACUGAUUCCUCCUUCCUGAUGAGCCUUAAUGCCAUUAAUUUGGUGUUUGGGGAAUUUGGACUGUUAACUUUGAAAAAAAUUAGAGUGUUUAAAGCAAGCUAACGUCUUGAAUACAUUAGCAUGGAAUAAUGAAAAUAGGACGUUCGAUCCUAUUUUGUUGGUUUCUAGGAUUGACGUAAUGAUUAAUAGGGAUAGUUGGGGGGCAUUAGUAUUCAAUUGUCAGAGGUGAAAAUUCUUGGAUUUUAUUGAAGACUAACUACUGCGAAAGCAUUUGCCAAGGAUGUUUUCAUUAAUCAAGAACGAAAGUUAGGGGAUCGAAGACGAUCAGAUACCGUCGUAGUCUUAACCAUAAACUAUGCCGACUAGGGAUCGGAUGAUGUUAAUUUUUAAUGACUCAUUCGGCG